UACGUAGGGUGCGAGCGUUGUCCGGAAUUAUUGGGCGUAAAGAGCUUGUAGGCGGUUUGUCGCGUCGGCCGUGAAAACCUGCAGCUUAACUGUGGGCUUGCGGUCGAUACGGGCAUCACUGGAGUUCGGCAGGGGAGACUGGAAUUCCUGGUGUAGCGGUGAAAUGCGCAGAUAUCAGGAGGAACACCGGUGGCGAAGGCGGGUCUCUGGGCCGAUACUGACGCUGAGGAGCGAAAGCGUGGGGAGCGAACAGG
rnacentral:rRNA from 1 species